rnacentral:rRNA from 1 species
GACGAACGCUGGCGGCGUGCCUAACACAUGCAAGUCGUACGGGACCGGGGGCAACUCCGGUUCAGUGGCAGACGGGUGCGUAACACGUGAGGAACCUGUCCGGUGGCGGGGGAUAGCCGGCCCAACGGCCGGGUAAUACCGCAUACGCUCGUUCGGGGGCAUCCCUGGGCGAGGAAAGCAGCCGCAAGGUUGCGCCGACGGAGGGCCUCGCGACCUAUCAGCUUGUUGGCGGGGUAACGGCCCACCAAGGCGACGACGGGUAGCUGGUCUGAGAGGAUGACCAGCCACAUUGGGACUGAGACACGGCCCAGACUCCUACGGGAGGCAGCAGUGGGGAAUAUUGCGCAAUGGCCGCAAGGCUGACGCAGCGACGCCGCGUGUGGGAUGACGGUCUUCGGAUUGUAAACACUGUCAGGGGGAACGAAUACAGGGCUUCGAUAAGGAGACCC